GCCAGACGCGUGCCCGACACGGACAGUUGGGGUAUCGACCGUUGGACUAUUGUGAUGAUUUUUUUUUAUCACGGCGGGAAAGGUAGAGGUCACGUGACCCCAGCCAAGUGCAGCCAAAGAAUGGUGCUCAGCUGAUUUUGUUGCCAUCAUGUAAGUUGAGAAGAUCUACAUUUUCCCAUGUUUGACAAUGAGCUUCCAAGCCAUAAAGGUCUUUUCAGAUACAAGUGAUUGAUGUUUGGGGUUAUUGCAACACCCGAGGCCUGUCAGCAUGUGAUCCAGCAAGUUCUACAUGGUUGUGAAGAAUCUGGAACGUGUCCUUACAUUUGCUCGGCCCAUUUGAAAUGAUUGUGCAGAAAUCUACCUGACCGCUUCUUUUCUCCAGUUUCUGCUCCUUUUUUGUAACAGAGAAGAAUAAGAGAAAAGGUAAAAGACAAUAGCUGCUGGACAAAAUACUACUGACUUUCCAUGUGAAAAGCUGCUGUAAUGUGUGGCCAUUGUGCUGGGGUGAGACACAGUAGGUGUGAUACAAUAACACCCGGCUUAAAGAUCUCCACGGUGGAGUCUCCUAGGCCCAACUUUCUGAAUAACAUUUUUCUUUAUUUUACAAGUUCAGCAAACAUGUAAUCACUUCUUGAUCACACUGAUAUCUGCUGACAUCCCAUCUUCUGUAACCAUGGAAAUAUCAGAUGCUUCUAAUUACUGCAAGAGCUUCUUAUGUUCCAUACAUGAAUAUGUAUAUCUCGGCGUUAGAAACAAAGAACCAACUUCCAGUAAGGGAUUAUUUGCAAAUACGGUAGUUCCUUUAAUAUUCUGGUAAACAGUGUUUAAAAUGUAUACUCCUUUAUAUCUUAUUCCUCCAAAAAUUUGCUAAUUUCCUGAAACAAAAAAAUAUGGAACUACAGUAAUACUACCUACCUCCUAUGUAUACAUAUUUGACUAAAAUAAUGCUGACUUCUAUGUACAAAAAUAUAGAAAAGUUUGCAUACUCCUGGAUAAUUGGUAAUAAAUGUACAGAAUUGUCUCCUAAAUUCAUCCUUUUAUCUCAAGUGAUUUUUUUCAAAAGUGACUUGAUAGACAUUUUGCACUAGUCAAAAAUUUAUGUGCAAAUAUAAAAAAAAUUCAACUGUAGGUUAUAACAGAAUGGCACAUUCAUAAACAAAAACAGGCAACAAAUAAAAAAUGA